CCUCACCCAAAUUGACUUGAGGGCAAAAGGGUUUAAGUCUUGUAGUUGUAUGUAUAUAAUAUUGAAGUGAUAGAGUUUCACAUUGAGUUUUCAAACUUUUACUGAAAACCUGUUCAUUCUUUUUUGGAAAAAUAGUCAUAUUGCUUAUGUGAGAGCGUAGAGGUAAAUUUUAGGCAUGACUCAAAGAAAGAACUUGGGGUGUAUUUAGUGAUAGGAGUACUAAGAUUCUAUAGCUGUGAUAUAAGAGUUAGUUAAGGUGGUUAUUGUGUGGCUUAGAGAGUAAGCUACCAAUACAAAUAAAUACAUGUUGUAAUAGUCAUUUGUAACUAACUAGAAAGGAAAUACAUUUCUUGAUUCUCUCUCUACUCUCUAAACUCUCUUACUCUCUUACUCUUCUACAUUUCUCUCUGUCUUUCUUCCUGCAUAACCUUUCUUCAUCAACAUAUUUAGAAUCUUCUUUUUAAUUUUUAUAACAUUUUAGGGCUUAAAUAGUCAUUUUAUGAGCAAUUUAAUAUCAAAUUAUUAUGUGGGGUGUAGUCAAUAAAAUAUGAGGUAUUAAUAAAAAAUCCCAAAAUAUAUUCUACUUUUGUUAUUUAAUGUGUAUUUUUUUUUAUUUCCUCCACAUUUAAAAUUUUAAUUUUAUUAAUAUGCACAUAUUAUUUCUUUCAAUUAUAUAUGAACAUAAAUGAGAAAAUAUUAAAAGAAAUUAGUGACACAUAAAUAUGUAAAUACAUUC
rnacentral:lncRNA from 1 species